AUACGGAGGGUGCGAGCGUUAAUCGGAAUUACUGGGCGUAAAGGGCGCGUAGGUGGUUUGGUCAGUCGGAUGUGAAAGCCCCGGGCUUAACUUGGGAAUUGCAUUCGAUACUGCCUCACUAGAGUAUGGUAGAGGGAAGCGGAAUUCCCGGUGUAGCGGUGAAAUGCGUAGAUAUCGGGAGGAACAUCAGUGGCGAAGGCGGCUUCCUGGACCAAUUCUGACACUGAGGCGCGAAAGCGUGGGGAGCAAACAGGAUUAGAUAUCCCAGUAGUCC
rnacentral:rRNA from 1 species